CAGCCGCCACGGUAAAACAGAGGGUGCGAGCGUUAAUCGGAUUUACUGGGCGUAAAGCGUGCGCAGGCGGUUAUAUAAGACAGAUGUGAAAUCCCCGGGCUCAACCUGGGAACUGCAUUUGUGACUGUAUAGCUAGAGUACGGCAGAGGGGGAUGGAAUUCCGCGUGUAGCAGUGAAAUGCGUAGAUAUGCGGAGGAACACCGAUGGCGAAGGCAAUCCCCUGGGCCUGUACUGACGCUCAUGCACGAAAGCGUGGGGAGCAAACAGGAUUAGAUACCCCAGUAGUCCCUGUCUCUUAUAC
rnacentral:rRNA from 1 species